rnacentral:tRNA from 1 species
UGGGACAUGGUCUAAUGGUAGGACAGGAGAUUUUGGUUCUUCUAAUCGAGGUUCGACUCCUCGUGUCCCAGCCA